AAAGCGAGCCAUCCCUAUCUUAGUCAUUGAUUAAAAUAUUGAAAAGUAUCUGCCACGGGUGGCAUCCCACUGAAAAUCUCCCUCCAGUUGAUGAGAACAACCUUGAUGAACAUCUUGAGUACUGUGUUCCAGUCAGCUGUGAAUUGACCUGAUGUUACUAUCAUUUUCCCUCACUUAACAGAUUUGCAAACCAAAAUACCAUGGGGGACUUUUAGCCAAUGCUUUGCUGAAAUUGUGAUAAUUUUUGUCUCUGGCUUUUCCACAAUCCAAUAAGCUAGUAACCCAGACAAAAGAGAUAAAGGUUAGUCUGGCAGGAUUUAUUUCUGACAGACCCAUGCUAAAAUUUUCAAAUGCUGGCCUUGUUAUGAAGAGGCUUACAAACAAACUCCUCCUUAAUCUGUUCUGAUAUCUUCUCUCAUAUCAAAGUCUUAUUGGUUCAAAAAAAAGGGGGGGGAGGAAAGAUCACCAAACCAAUUCAGAGACCAUCGGAUCUUGUCAUUUGAAUGUGAAUUUCAAGGAUAAUGUGCCACAAUAUUUUUCUCGUCCUUAACAGAUUUGCGCCAAAUGUAUUGGUCUGCUUUCAUUUGGGCCACAUCAAUGAGGCUGAGUCUUAUUGUCUAGCCAGUCCAGGACCUCCAUACACACUCCCCAGGCUUGUGACCUGGGGAGGUCACGUCACUGCUGCAAACACAACUGUUUGACUUCACCUCCAGAGGUGCACUCCAUUGAAGACCGACAGAUGCCAGCAACAACAAAACAAAGCAUAUUUAUUAAAAAUAGGAUCUUCAGCAUUCAGAAUGAUGUUUUAGACCAGGAAUGUGGAUCAAGAACCGUUCCCCCCCCCCCAAUCAAGGGCUGCAUUCUUUCAGGGGAAAUCUGUUGGCGGUUGCAUACUUGCUGUGGAUGGAGGAGCAUCCAAAAGUGGGUGAGCCACGCCCUUUUUUUAAUGGUUUCAUUGUGUAGCAACCAUGUCUUCUCUCUCCUUCACUCUGUCACACACAAUAUGGAAGAGGAAGUUUUCUCCACAUGGUUGCCUGGAGAGCAAGAGGUCAGAGGUCUUCAGGUCACCUGCCCCUGAAUUAGACACUUAAAAAAAAUGCAUGUGGUGUCAUUUGGAACUAGCGCUGCAGACUCCAAACUCUUAAGUAAUAUCUGUCAUUUUGAAGAAUUGCAUAGAAAUCAAAGACAACCCCAUGCUGCAGUGAUCAGAGAAGCCUCUGACCAAAUAUUGCCUUUUACUCAAUUUUUCAGAUGGGUACUUAAUGGUCCAGUUCUCCACUCUCUCUUAAAGCACCUUUUAGUGGCUUGUCUGUUCAGUGUUUGGGGUGCAUAGUAUCCAAAUCUGCUUUGCAAACAGAAGGCACAGUUGAGCGGCAAUAGCAAGCAGAUACUGGAUUAGUGAUCAACUUCUAUGCCUUUAGUUUUGAGCAUGGGGGUGGAAUAUGUUGCUGUUCAGGCAGGUAACAACUCCCAGAGAAAUUGGCUAUGUAUGCUGGUUGGGGCUGCAGAGUUAGAACCCAAAAAGAUCCCCUCAGAGCACCUCCUCAUGGAUGGCACAAGUCCUACAGAAGAU